AGUGAACGCUGGCGGUAGGCCUAACACAUGCAAGUCGAACGGCAGCACAGUAAGAGCUUGCUCUUACGGGUGGCGAGUGGCGGACGGGUGAGGAAUACAUCGGAAUCUACUUUUUCGUGGGGGAUAACGUAGGGAAACUUACGCUAAUACCGCAUACGACCUACGGGUGAAAGAAGGGGAUCUUCGGACCUUGCGCGAUUGAAUGAGCCGAUGUCGGAUUAGCUAGUUGGCGGGGUAAAGGCCCACCAAGGCGACGAUCCGAAGCUGGUCUGAGAGGAUGAUCGGCCACUCUGGAACUGAGACACGCUCCCGACUCCUACGGGAGGCAGCAGUGGGGAAUAUUGGCCAAUGGGCGCAAGCCUGAUCCAGCCAUACCGCGUGGGUGAAGAAGGCCUUCGGGUUGUAAAGCCCUUUUGUUGGGAAAGAAAAGCAGCAGGUUAAUACCCCGCUGUUCUGACGGUACCCAAAGAAUAAGCACCGGCUAACUUCGUG
rnacentral:rRNA from 1 species